AUUGAACGCUGGCGGCAGGCCUAACACAUGCAAGUCGAACGAGUGGCGGACGGGUGAGUAAUGUCUGGGAAACUGCCUGAUGGGGGGGGAUAACUACUGGAAACGGUAGCUAAUACCGCAUACCAUCGGAUGUGCCCAGAUGGGUUUAGCUAGUAGGUGGGGUAAAGGCUCACCCAGGCGACGAUCCCUAGCUGGUCUGAGAGGAUGACCAGCCACACUGGAACUGAGACACGGUCCAGACUCCGACGGGAGGCGGCGGUGGGGAAUAUUGCACAAGUGGCGCAAGCCUGAUGCUACCAUGCCGAGUGUAUGAAGAAGGCCUUCGGGUUGUAAAGUACUUUCAGCGGGGAGGCGUUACCCGCAGAAGAAGGACCGGCUAACUCCGUGCCAGCCGCCGCGGUAAUAC
rnacentral:rRNA from 1 species